ACUCAUCAUGCACCACCACCUAGAAAUAUACAAUUAUAUAACACAUAACAAUUAGCUGCUUAUAAUUAUAACUAGUAAUACUAAUCUAUUUUAUAUUUCAAAACAAUAAUAAAAUAUGUAGAUUAUGUGAGCAGUACUUAUGUAAAAGGAGUUCGUACCCUUUAAUUAUUGUGUUUAAAGAAGGAAAAUUAUCAGAAGAGAAGAGGUUCGAAACAAUUGUAUAUGGAU
rnacentral:lncRNA from 1 species